GUUUUGUUUAUAAUGCUAUGACGUUCAUUACACAAUGUUUGUAAAAGAACCUUUCGGUUCAACAGUUCACAGGUGUUUGGGAUAUAGUUUUUAGGCACUAAGGCCAAUCACUAAUGAUCCUUCCGCAGGUUCACCUACGGAAA
rnacentral:misc_RNA from 1 species